ACGGGGUGCAGCAGGCGCGAAAACUUUACAAUGCGAGAAAUCGUGAUAAGGGAACCCCGAGUGCCCGUAAAUUCGGGCUGUCCAUCAGUUCAAAAAACUGGUGAAGAAAGGGCCGGGCAAGACCGGUGCCAGCCGCCGCGGUAAUACCGGCGGCUCGAGUGGUGGCCACUAUUACUGGGCUUAAAGCGUCCGUAGCUUGGUUGUUAAGUCUCCUGGGAAAUCCAUCGGCUCAACCGAUGGGCGUUCAGGGGAUACUGGCAACCUAGGGACCGGGAGAGGUGAGAGGUACUCCAGGGGUAGGAGUGAAAUUCUGUAAUCCUAGGGGGACGACCAGUGGCGAAGGCGUCUAGCUAGAACAGGUCUGACGGUGAGGGACGAAGCCCUGGGGCGCAAACGGGAUUAGAUACCCCGGUAGUCCAGGGUGUAAACGAUGCAUACUAGGUGAUGGCACGGUCAUGAGCCGUGUCAGUGCCGUAGGGAAACCGUUAAGUGUGCCGCCUGGGAAGUACGGUCGCAAGGCUAAAACUUAAAGGAAUUGGCGGGGGAGCAC
rnacentral:rRNA from 1 species